UACGGAGGGGGCUAGCGUUGUUCGGAAUUACUGGGCGUAAAGCGCACGUAGGCGGCUUUGUAAGUUAGAGGUGAAAGCCCAGGGCUCAACCCUGGAAUUGCCUUUAAGACUGCAUCGCUUGAACAUCGGAGAGGUAAGUGGAAUUCCGAGUGUAGAGGUGAAAUUCGUAGAUAUUCGGAAGAACACCAGUGGCGAAGGCGGCUCACUGGACUGGUAUUGACGCUGAGGUGCGAAAGCGUGGGGAGCAAACAGG
rnacentral:rRNA from 1 species